AACGAACGCUGGCGGCAUGCCUAACACAUGCAAGUCGAACGGGACCUUCCUGUCUAGUUGCGCAGGUGGGCGUGACGCGUGGUAACCUACCCUUAGGUUCGCAAUACCUGCCCUAAAGGUGUGCUAAUACCGGUUAAUCUAUUCCGGCCAAGGAGUUAUCGCCUUUGGGUGGGCCCGCGUUGGAUUAGCUGGUUGGUAGGGUAAAAGCAUACCAAGGAGACGUUCCAUAGCUGGUCGGGGAGGAUGAUCCGUCACACUGGGAAUGAGACACGGCCCAGACUCGUACGCGAGGGAGCAGUGGGGAAUACUGGACAAUGGGCGAAAGCGUGAUCAAGCCAUGCCGCGGGAGUGAUGAAGGCCUUAGGGUUGUACAGCCCUUUUACACGGGAUGAGAAUGACAGUACCGGGAGAAUAAGCACCGGCUAACUACGUG
rnacentral:rRNA from 1 species